GAGGUUGGGAGAUGGACGCUAUUCUUGUAAACCGGGUCAGGUCUGGAAAGAAGCAGCCCUAGCAAUGUUAUAGUGGGUCGUCUUUUCAGCCUCUCC
rnacentral:SRP_RNA from 1 species